AGGGGUGUAGCUCAGUGGUAGAGCACAUGCUUAGCAAGCACGAGGCCCUGAGUUCAAUCCCCAGUACCUCCA
rnacentral:tRNA from 1 species